AUUGAACGCUGGCGGAAUGCUUUACACAUGCAAGUCGAGCGGCAGCGCGGGGGCAACCCUGGCGGCGAGCGGCGAACGGGUGAGUAACAUAUCGGAACGUACCCCGUCGUGGGGAUAACACAGCGAAAGCUGUGCUAAUACCGCAUACGACCUGAGGGUGAAAGCGGGGGAUCGCAAGACCUCGCGCGAUGGGAGCGGCCGAUAUCGGAUUAGCUUGUUGGUGAGGUAAAGGCUCACCAAGGCGACGAUCCGUAGCUGGUCUGAGAGGACGACCAGCCACACUGGAACUGAGACACGGUCCAGACUCCUACGGGAGGCAGCAGUGGGGAAUUUUGGACAAUGGGGGCAACCCUGAUCCAGCCAUUCCGCGUGAGUGAAGAAGGCCUGG
rnacentral:rRNA from 1 species